ensembl:lncRNA
GCGUGCAGCCAAUCAAAGCGUUCGCCGCAAGCCCCGCUCGGCGCGGACGCGCGACCAAUCAGAAGAGAGGACGGAGAGCUUUAUUUGCAUAUAGGCGUGUGGGGCGUGCCCGAGCUUAUUUGCAUACAGCGCGGGAAUAUUUGCAUGGAGGGCACUCAUUUGCAUAGAGCGCGGGUUCAUUUGCAUACAAGGCGCGCCCCGCGGGGGUUUCGGACGGGGGACCCCCCAAAACGUCCCCAAAAUUCACCCAAAUCCUCCCAGGUCCCCCCAAAUCCUCCCAGGACCCCCCAAAAUCUCCCCAAAAUUCACCCAAAUCCUUCCCGGUCCCCCAAAUCCUCCCAGGACCCCCCAAAUCCUCCCAGGACCCCCCAAAAUCUCCCCAAAAUUCACCCAAAUCCUUCCCGGUCCCCCAAAAUCUCUCAGGACACCCCCCCAAAACCUCCUCAGGACCCCCCCCAAACCCCCUCAGGACCCCCCAAAAUCUCCCCAAAUCCUCUCAGAUCCCCCCAAACCCUUCAGGACCCUUCAAAAUCUUCCCAGGACCCCCCGAGUCCUUGGGAUCAUCCCCGGGAGAAUUCCGGGGCAUAGAUCCUUUGGGAUCCCCCAAAUCCUGGGGGUGAUCCUGGGGAUCGAUCCCCCAAAUCCCUGGGAGCAUCCUGGGACUGGUUCCCUCAAAAUCUGGGAUCAUCCCAGGGUGGAUCCCCCAAAAUCUGGGAUUAUCCCGGGACCGGAUCCCUCAAUCCACUGGAUCAGCCCAGGGAGGAUCCCCAAAUCCCCGGGAUCAUCCCAGGGUGGAUUCCCCCCAAAUCUGGGAUCAUCCCGGGACUGGAUCCCCCAAAUCCCCGAGAUCAUCCCAGGGGUGGUUCCCCCAAACUCCAGGAUCAUCCCAGGACUGGGUUCCCCAAAAUCUGGGAUCAUCCCGGGACUGGAUCCCCCAAAUCCCGGGACCGGAUCCCCCAAAUCCCUGGGAUCAUCCUGGGACUGGAUCCCCCAAAUCCAUGAGAUGAUCCCAAGGUGGAUCCCCAAAAUCCCCGGGAUCAUCCCAGGACCGGAUCCCCCAAAUCCCCCCAAAUCCCCCCAGACCCCCCAAACCUCCCAGACCCCCCAAACCCCACUGGAUCCCAUUGGAUCCCAAUGGAUCCCUCGGGAUCGGGGUAAUGGCGACUGACGUAGACGCUCUGCCCGUCGAUCCCGAUGGAACCCAUUGAUCCCGAUGGAUCCCGAUGGAUCCCUACGGAUCCCUCGGGAUCUCAGUAAUGACGACUGACGUAGACGCUCUGCCCGUCGAUCCUGAUGGAUCCCGAUAGAUCCGAUGGAUCCGAUGGAUCCCGAUGGAUCCCUUGGGAUCUCAGUAAUGGCGGCUGACGUAGACGGUCUCCCCGUUGAUCCCGAUGGAUCCAAUGGAUCUGAUGGAUCCCGCUGGAUCCCUAUGGAUCUCAGUAAUGGCGGCUGACGUAGACGCUCUGCCCGUCGAUCCCGAUGGAUCCAAUGGAUCCCGAUGGAUCCAAUGGAGCCCAUUGAUCCCGAUGGAUCCCAAUGUAUCCAAAUGGAUUCCAAUUGAUCCAAUGGAGCCCAUUGAUCCCGAUGGAUCCCAAUGGAUCCAAAGGGAUUCCAAUGGAUCCGACGGGUCCCAUCAGAUCCCAAUGGAUCCCUCGGGAUCACGGUAGUGUCAGCUGACAUAGACGCUCUUCCCGUCGAUCCCGAUGGACCCAAUGGAUCCCGAUGGCGCCGAUGGCUCCAAUGGCUCCAACGGAUCCCGAUGGAUCCGAUGGAUCCGAUGGAUCCCAAUGGAUCUCAGUAAUGGCGGCUGACGUAGACGCUCUGCCCGUCGAUCCCGAUGGAUGCAAUGGAUCCGAUGGAUCCCGAUGGAUCCCGAUGGAUCCAAUGGCUCCAAUGGCUCCAAUGGCUCCAAUGGAUCCGAUGGAUCCAGUGGAUCCCGAUGGAUCCCUAUGGAUCUCAGUAAUGCCGGCUGACGUAGACGCUCUGCCCGUCGAUCCCGAUGGAUCCAAUGGCUCCAAUGGCUCCAAUGGCUCCAAUGGCUCCAGUGGAUCCCGAUUGAUCCCGAUGGAUCCCAAUGGAGUCCAAUGGAUCCGAUGGAUCCCUAGGGGUCCCAAUGGAUCCCGAUUGAUCCGAUGGAUCCAAAUGGAUCCCAUUGGGUCCCAAUUGAUCCAAUGGACCCCGAUGGAUCCAAUGGGUCGUGAUUGAUCCCGUCGAUCCCAAUGGAUCCAAUGGGUCCCAAUGGGUCCCAAUGGAUCCAAUGGGUCCCAAUGGCUCCAAUGGAUCCGAUUGAUCCAAUGGAUCCGCUGGAUCCCUCGGGAUCUCAGUAAUGGCGGCUGAUGUAGACGCUCUGCCCGUCGAUCCCGAUGGAUCCAAUGGAUCCAAUGGCUCCCAAUGGAUCCCAAUGGCUCCAAUGGCUCCAAUGGAUCCCAUGGAUCCCAUGGAUCCCAUGGAUCCCUCGGGAUCUCAGUAGUGCCGGCUGACGUAGACGCUCUGCCCGUCGAUCCCGAUGGAUCCCGAUAGAUCCGAUGGCUCCAAUGGCUCCAGUGGAUCCCAAUGGAUCCCGCUGGAUCCCUCGGGAUCUCAGUAGUGCCGGCUGACGUAGACGCUCUGCCCGUCGAUCCCGAUGGAUCCAAUGGAUCCAAUGGAUCCCAUGGAUCCCAAUGGAUCUCAGUAGUGGCGGCUGACGUAGACGCUCUGCCCGUCGAACUCGUCGCCGCCGAGGCAGCGCAGGAGGAAGUGGCCGAGGUCGGGCGCCGAAAUCUCCCGGGAGGCUCCGGGGCCGCCGGCGGCUCCGACCGUCACCUCGUAGUCGCCGGUCAGCGGCCGCUCCGCUGCCGCCCCCAAAUCACAAUUAGCACUUUUUUUAGAAUUUAUCCCAGUUUUUCCCAAUUAUCCCAGUUUUUCCCAUUUUUCCCCUUUUUC